UACGUAGGGUGCAAGCGUUAAUCGGAAUUACUGGGCGUAAAGCGUGCGCAGGCGGCUUUGCAAGACAGAUGUGAAAUCCCCGGGCUUAACCUGGGAACUGCAUUUGUGACUGCAUGGCUAGAGUGCGGCAGAGGGGGGUGGAAUUCCACGUGUAGCAGUGAAAUGCGUAGAGAUGUGGAGGAACACCGAUGGCGAAGGCAG
rnacentral:rRNA from 1 species